rnacentral:tRNA from 1 species
CGGGGCGUGGCGCAGCUGGUAGCGCACCGGUUUUGGGAGCCGGGGGUCGCCGGUUCAAAUCCGGCCGCCCCGA